rnacentral:rRNA from 1 species
UACGUAGGGUGCAAGCGUUAAUCGGAAUUACUGGGCGUAAAGCGUGCGCAGGCGGUUAUAUAAGUCAGACGUGAAAUCCCUCGGCUUAACCGGGGAACUGCGUCUGAUACUGGAUGGCUUGAGUUUGGGAGAGGGAUGCGGAAUUCCAGGUGUAGCGGUGAAAUGCGUAGAUAUCUGGAGGAACACCGGUGGCGAAGGCGGCAUCCUGGACCAACACUGACGCUGAGGAGCGAAAGCCAGGGGAGCAAACGGG